CCUACGGGGUGCAGCAGUGGGGAAUAUUGCGCAAUGGGCGAAAGCCUGACGCAGCGACGCCGCGUGAGGGAUGAAGGUCUUCGGAUCGUAAACCUCUGUCAGCAGGGAAGAACGGUCACUGUGCUAAUCAGCAGUGAAUUGACGGUACCUGCAAAGGAAGCACCGGCUAACUCCGUGCCAGCAGCCGCGGUAAUACGGAGGGUGCGAGCGUUAAUCGGAAUUACUGGGCGUAAAGCGCUCGUAGGCGGUAUGUCAAGUCAAGGGUGAAAUCCCCGCGCUCAACGUGGGAACUGCCUUUGAAACUGGCAAGCUGGAGUGUGUGAGAGGAGAGUGGAAUUCCAGGUGUAGGAGUGAAAUCCGUAGAUAUCUGGAGGAACAUCAGUGGCGAAGGCGACUAUCUGGCAAAAAACUGACGCUGAGGAGCGAAAGCGUGGGUAGCAAACAGGAUUAGAUACCCCAGUAGUC
rnacentral:rRNA from 1 species